rnacentral:rRNA from 1 species
UACGUAGGGUGCAAGCGUUGUCCGGAAUUAUUGGGCGUAAAGAGCUCGUAGGCGGUUUGUCGCGUCUGCUGUGAAAACCUAAGGCUCAACCUUGGGCUUGCAGUGGGUACGGGCAGACUAGAGUGCGGUAGGGGUGACUGGAAUUCCUGGUGCAGCGGUGGAAUGCGCAGAUAUCAGGAGGAACACCGAUGGCGAAGGCAGGUCACUGGGCCGCAACUGACGCUGAGGAGCGAAAGCAUGGGGAGCGAACAGG